GUGUCAGGCAAAUUUCUUAAAUUCUCAGUACCUUAGUUUCUUAGUCUCUAAUAUCAAGAAAAUGAUAAAAACAAUUUUAUAGGGUUGCUGGGGGAUUAACUGGUGAUCUAUGUUUAUUAAUUAGUGUAGCGUAAGCUUCUGUAAUAAAUAAUCUGCCCCAGAGAGUGGUUCAAACAAGAUGGAAGUUUAGGAGUUCCCGUUGUGGUGCAGUGGUUAACGAAUCUGACUAGGAGCCAGGGGUUGAACCUGCAUCUGCAUGGAUACUAGUUGUAUUCAUUUCUGCUGUGCUGCAACUGAAACUCCUGACAUCUAUUUUUGUUGUUGAUGAUAGUAUAUUAUUCUUAAAUGUGGACUUCAUUAACAGAAAUGAUAAUAAUUCUGUAAAUCCUUGAAAUUACAUUAAAAAUUCUGUAUGAGCCUUUUUUUUUUGUGAUUCUUAAGAAACCAUUGUAAUAAAAUAGUAAAUGGUGGUAUUCUGAUUGUCAAGCAUAAUUCACAUAAGCAAGGUUUAGAAGAAGGGUUUGGGCUAGAUGAUCAUAAAGUCACUUGCAUCUAAUUAUCUAUGACUUAAAGCAUGCAUCGGGAUGAACUCAGUGUCUAAUACUGAGUUUAGGUACUAUGGGAGAUAAAAAUUAUUCAACAUUUUCUGUCUUUAGGUUUAUAAGUUUUAUUGGAAAGACAGUAAGGAAACAACAAUACAGAAUGGUACAUGCUUGAGGAGUCAAGUGUGGUUCACAUUAAGUUGGGUCAGGAGGUAUGGGGAAAGAUGGAAGUAAGUUUUAACUUGACCUUGAAAAGAUGGGUGGACUAAGAUUGGAAUAGCCUUCAAAUGGGAAUGUUAAGUUUUGGCAUCAAUUGUAAACUCAUGCACAAAACAGUAGAUUGUUACUUUUGAAAGAAGAAGGGACCAGGAAUCAUUCAAACUCAUAGUGCCAAGGAGGCAAGUUGUUUAAAAGAUGAGAAUGAGACUUUUAAAACCUAACUUUGUUUUCCUUAUUUUUUGAAUUGUUGUCUAUCCAAGAGCUUCCCAUUGGCAUUUGGAAAGGUGCGUAUGGAUUAUACAGAAUGGGAAAACUCUCAGCUCUUUGGUCAUUAUAAAGUGGGAGUUCUUGGAGUUCCCUUGUGGUGGGGCGGGUUAAGGAUCCAGAAUUGUUACUGCAACGGCUCAGAUUGUGGCAUGGGUUUGAUCCCUUGCCUGGAAACUUCUGCAUGCUGUGGGUGCAGCCAAAAAAAAAAAAAAAAAAA
rnacentral:lncRNA from 1 species